rnacentral:lncRNA from 1 species
CUCUGGAAUAUAUAACACAGGCAAUCCUUAAAAGAAGCUUACAAAAUGAAAUGAAGCUAGUAGGAUGACAUUUAAUUUGUGGUUCUUGCCUUGCUUUUAGCCAUAUAAAUUAAUUGGCAUGUAGAUUAAAAAAGGAGGCCAAAAGCCUAGAAAUGCUCUGGAAAAAGCUCAAGAUGACCUUGGGUAUAAAUGAAGAUAUGGCCAAAGACAAAGAUUUUCUUGUAAUUCCCUGGGUAGCAGCCCAGACCACAGCAGUCCCUUGGACGACUGGAGAAACCAGCUGGAGGCCAGUGGCCUGAUCAGUUGUGAGGAGAGAGGACUUGAGGAAGUAGAUGGAAGUACCAUGUCUGACCUGCCAUUCAUGAAGUGGCUGACCUUGUGGAGCAGUUCCCAUCAUCACGCACCUUGCACCAUCCCAGAAGCACAGGCAUCUCCUAUAGGAAGUGAAGGAAGAGAAACAGCCUGUACCAGCAGCUGGGCUUUUCAGAUGGUGAGACUGACUACCAGGCUAUAGCUUCAACAGGAAAAAUAACUCAACAUUCAGAAGGGAAAAUGAAGAAGAGUUGGUACCAGACAUCACUGAAUAUACUAUUGUAGGCCAAUGUGAUGUUGACAGUUUUGAGAAAAU